AUAAUAGCUCAGUUGGUAGAGCACUAGCUUCCCAAGCUUGGGGUCACGGGUUCGAGCCCCGUUUGU
rnacentral:tRNA from 1 species